AGUGUUAUUUCUGGGUUAAAUGGUAGUUGCACAUUCUGUUUCUAAAGAAAACGUAAAAUCAUUUUCUGUAGUGGAUAGACCAUUUUACAUUCCCACCAGCAAU
rnacentral:pre_miRNA from 1 species